rnacentral:lncRNA from 1 species
ACAAAUAUUACGAAUUCCGGUAAUCCGGGCUAAAGGAGCCACCUUUCACGCUGGGCCGAUGUCUGAGCCUCUUACGCAAAACUACCCAAUAUAUUAAAUUUAAAAGCUACAGCUUUAACAUGAUUUGGUAAAUUCAAGAAUUCAAGUGGCUUUUCUUGUUAAACAAAUUUAUUUUGUAGCAAAUCAAAUAGUUACUACUUUUAGUAGUUUGAAAAUCUUUUAUCAAAAUCAAAGUUUAAAUAGUGAGUCAAAGGUAUUAUCAAUUCAACUGCAGGUAUUCAAUUACUAAACAUGAUUCACAAGAAUGAUGUCACGAUAAAAAUGAAUCAUGUCAUGAAAGAGAGGUCAGGGUCACGAAGAAGAUAAAAAUCGCUUACUCUUAACUAAGGGUAGAAAUACUUGCCUUAACUCCGACGUCUAGUCACGAUUCUAAUAGCACUAUACCGCACAAUCAUAUCUUUCUAAGACAGCUUCUGACAAUACUCUUUCUACGUCUGUCAUCUCAGAUUAUUCUUGCUUCAACUUGCAACACCAUCGGAUUAAUUCUGAACAUUCUCGAUAUACACGUCUUGAUCUAUUCUACACGAUAGUAGGAUAAAUCUCAGUUAUCGGAUUAGAAGAACUAGCUGAUUCUAAAUAUCAUAAGAAUCGAGAAUAUCUACCCUCCGCAUAUCCAUAUAUAGUAAACAUGAAUAUAUACAAAUAUCCACAUAACAAUAUAUACACAUACACAUUGGAUCAGUCGGCACAUAACAACGUAGUCAAUCAUAUUUCAGUCCACAUAAAAUAUAUUGCGAUUAACUAUCAAAUAUCAAAUAUUUAUUAUAAAUAAACACCCUUAAUUUCUAACAAAAAUUCGACAGCAUCUCCUCUAUUUAUUGGACUAUCCACCUGUUUGCAAUACCAACAAUCAGCCAAUACUAUUGCUGACACAUGAAUUACUAUUAUAAAAAGAUGUCUUGACUUUCAAUAAACACAUAAGAAAAUCCGCCUUGACUUGCAGUAAACAUGUAAGAAAAAUCUUUUAGCAGGAUUGCUAAUUUGUUAUACCAAAACACAUUUAAUUAGAUAUACAAAGUUAACCAAGUCAAUCAAUUUAAUAAUCAAUUAUAUGCAAUUAAGCAAGUAUAACCUCAUACUAUCCACUAACAAAGAAAGAAAACUACAACAAAUGGUUCAAACAACCCUCACUCUAUGAUUUUUAAUAAAUUGAAAAUUUAUUGUUUUAAUACAAAAAUUUUAUGAGACACUCCUUAACAUUAUUCCAACCUACAGUAAAAGUUUCAGAAAGAAACUCCAAGUAUAAGGCGGUAAAACAGGCCUGCCAAUCAAGCACCAGAAAUUUGUCUUAUAAAACCAGUCCGACGCUAAGAUUUUUAAUAAACAGAAAAAUUGGUCUGUUUGUAUAAAAUUUUAAUGACACAUUCCAGGCACCAACAUCUAACUCCAGUAAAAAUUUCAGAAGUAAAUACCAAGUCAAAGGUAGUAAAACAGGGCUAGGAACAGGACACACCUGCCCAGAAUUUUCUGCGCACUUCACACUAAAACACACAUAUCUCCCAGCUCGUUGAUCGAAUUGAUUCAAUUCUUUCGCGCACAUAAACUAGACUCUAAGUAGCAUAUAAUUACAAAGAAAUUAAGCAUAGCACUCGAAUUUAACAGUCCCAGAACAGAGCUACAAAACAGGACUGUUGCUGCGAAGCAUAACAUUCAAUUGACUAAAUAAUUUGCAAGUUAUACUUCAAAUACUCAAGUUAGCUCAAUCCAAUUAUUCUAGACCUGAACUUACACUUACAAUAUAAACCAAUAUCACUAGUUUACCGAAUUUAGAUAAAACCAAGCUUUAGCAUUAUCAAUUUUUAAUAUUGGAAUUCAAAUUACCCAAAACUCAUAUCCUCAAAUCAAAUAUCAACACCCAUCAAUUUGUAGACUCAAAACACAUAGCAACCAACUCUUAUACUUUAUUUAUAUAUCAAAUUAAUAUUCAUAUCAAACAAAUCUCCCAACUAGCAAUCUGAUCAUAUACACACAAGCCACAUAAAUCAGAUUAUACACACAUAUCAAGUACAUAUACACGGAUAAACACCGUUCCCCCGAAUAUAAUUUCGAUUAUCCGACAUGUAAAUACACGCAUAUAUACACAUACAUGUACCACGUAACUGAUUUAAUGAAUAUAAACAAACUUAUACCAAAUUGAAUUCAAGUAGGUGGAGACCAUUCCUUAAUUGCCGGAAACAUAGCGGCGUUGGGGCGUCAGGACUCAUCGGCCAGAAAAGGAAUCCGAUAGAGCUGCACCUGAUUUGGACAGAAGAGGGAAGUGAUGCGGGAGGUUGAAGAAUGGUGCGGGAGUCUGGAGAAGUCGAGGGGGGAGAGGCGGUGUGAUUAUAAUGGGUUUUAAAAGAGAAAGACAGAGGAAUGGUGUACGUGGCUUAAGAGAAUGAAAGAGUACAUACGUGUUAUACCCCAAAAGAAGCCAUGUACCAAGUCACCAAUUAACCUAUACCCGCUUUUAACUAAUUUACGGAGAUAACUUAUUAGUAAAACUUCUCCCAAAAAUUACCGAAAUAUUUUUAUAAAUCCUAGAAUAUUAGAAAACCAGUAAAUAAAAUUUUUGGGACUUAUAGAGCAUUUUAUAAAUUUAUACAAAAUUUAGAAUUUAGCUGCUUCCAGAAACUAAUUAAAAUUCAUGUCCUUGUAGAAAUAAGAUUUUUUUUAAUAUUUUAAAAACUCCUAAAAAUAUUUAUGAUCACUAUCGAGCAAUUAAAACAAUUUAUCAAAUUAUCUUUAUAUUUUUACAAAUAUAAAUAUUCAUUUAGGCGGGUAAUAAAUUUAAUAUAAUAAUAUCAAACGCAGAAAUAAAUGCACACACAAAUAUAAUCGUACACAAAUAAAUCAAUUAAAUCUCGUAACAGAUAAUUGCACGAUCGGCAGAUAUUUUUCCCAUAACCCCAAUGACUAGGAAAAUAAUUUAAACAAUAUUUUUGAAAAUUAUCAAACUAGAAUAAAAUAUUGAAUUUCAUUCCUCAUUUUCCUCGAAUAAUCCUGAAUAAGAAUAAUAAAAUAAUUUGUGAAAAUUCGGGUCGUCACAAUCUACCCCCCUUAAAAGGAUUCCGUCCUCGGAAUCAGCGAAAAGCAAACAAGAGCAUACGAUCUCUAUAAUCUGUAAUACCCCUUUCUGAUAUAACAAUUUUCUUAAUCGCUGUCGUAUACCCGCAUUGUCAUCCGCUUUUAUCCAUGGUACUUCCUGGUAUAAAGUCUCAAUUCAUAUUGGCAACAUGGUAGGCAUACCUCCAAACUAUUAGAGAUAACGAGAAUCUUGAAGAUUUAAAAGUAUGACCAAAUUUCAUAUAUCGAAGCAAAUGUCACGUGAUUGUGGUCAUAUGAUUAUGAGAGUGUUAAAUAAAUCUCACUUGAAAUAGAGAUAACUGAGAGACCAAUAUGAUCUAAUGAACUCAGUGUUGCGUGUCUAGAUUAAGACACUACUAAAGGUAGUUAACCUUCUUGUAAUGUACAACACACACAAGUGAUGGCGUCCCAUCCAACUCCUAUCACACAGACUGGUAGUCCUUGUGUCCCCUAUAGGUAGGGUUGUUCAUCUCAGUUAGAGUAGAAUGAUAUGAUAGAUUUUCAAAAUCAAUUAAGAAUGAUUGACUUUUGAUGAAUGAAUCUUUGAUGCGCACCUUGAGUUAAAAAUUGAAUAAGUUCCAAAGGUGCUAGUUUCAAUGAAAAGAUUAGUUAGAAAUGAUAAAAUAGACACAAGUAUCAUUUUAUAACUCAAGAGAUAGAAAUAUAGUCUUUAUCAAACAUCUCUAGGAAAAGAUGUCAAGACAAUUCAUUGAUGAAGAAGGUAAUCAAUAUAAUCAACAAAGAGGAAGGUAUUGCCAAGAUUCUCACAGAUGUCUUCUUGAUCGAUUCCUUUGAUGACUCGUUUUGAUACUAGUGAUUCUUCUUGACGUUCUAGUGAUCACUUGCAUAUAUUAUCGUUGACUAGUAAUAGCCUUUGAAGAUCCCAUCAUUGAUAUCGUUGCCGGUCAGAAGUCUUAUCCAACUUUAUGCAAUAAUAUCACCAUAUAGCGUUGACGUCUUAACUCGCUUAUAAGUACUGGAUCGAGGAAUCUAACACGAAUUCUACGUAGCUCUAAUUCUCAGUACUUAACUAUUUACAAAGCUUUAAACUCAGACUUGGUAACACCUAUAUUCUUUCACCAAUUCUAGAUAUCUCUGACAAGAAUCAAAAGGUGACUCUCCAAAUAAUACUCAACACUUGGCAUAUACUAUAAAUGAUAUAUUAGACUGUGUGGAAAUCUCUACGGGUCCGACCUCAACUGGUUCUAGCUUGAAGGUUCUGCUGAUAGGUCUUACUUCGACCAUCUUAGAUUGAUUUAACUCUAAAUUGGUCAAUAUACCAGGGACUGGAAGAACUAGAAUUAGGAAGUGUGAUGUCUAUAACUAUAAACAGUUAAACUUAAUCAUCUAGCUCCAUUUUAUUCUGCUUAGAAAGACUAUCCCCAAAUAGUCUUACGGUACCUCUAUGUGAGGUUACACCACGUAAUUUUUUUUAUCAAACCUAUUAUUACAAUCUACAUUCUGAUUUCAAUAACUUAUAACCUGUAGCUCUGAUACCAACUGUGACAUCCCUCAAAUCCGGGGGUCUGGAUCUGGUGCCACGUGUAAAUAAAAAUAAUUUAAAACCUGUAUUUUUGAGUCACUGAAAGAAAAACAAUUUAAAACCUGUAUCUUUGAAAGAAAGUAAAUACAAAUAUUUCAAAACCUGGAUAUUUUUAAAAAAAUGAUUUAAAUUAAAAUCAAAUUCACCCCCUGAAAACAGGAUCGCAUACAGGUUACAGCAUUGAAAUCAGAAACUAAAACUAUCAAAUUUCAUUACAAAUUAAACUGCAUUAUCAGCUAAACAUCGAUAAGAAGAGUAGCUGAUAACCAAAUAAACAAAUCUCAUUUCCAACUGAAUUGAAUUGCAGAACUCCAACUGCAUCUAGUCUUAAUCACAUCGUCCCGGAUACCCUACCUAACAAUUUUCCUGAACUCAACCACUUGCAAUCAUUGCCUAUCAUUACUCUUUACGCGCAGUCUUUAGUGAAUCAUCUUUAUCCCUAGCUGAAAAAGGUUAGAAGGAAUAGCAAGAAUGAGCAAUAAUGCUCAGCAAGAAUAUGAUAGGUGGAAGCAACAAGAUAUAUAUAUUUAAGUGAAUCAGAAUGUUGAAGUGAAAGUAAACUCUGGAUUAAACAUGAUGUUGUAAACCAACAGUUCAGUAUAAAAGAGUAAAAUGGUAAACAAUGAUAAAACAGUUCUGCAUCAAUAUAUGAAUUUAAAGCUGUAGAAAUAAAAAUAACUUCCAUUAUCUUUUGAACAUAAGAUAAUCUCCUUUGAAACUAAUCAAUAUUUAAUUGGGUUUAAAUAAGACACCUGGCUAUAACAGAUGAUCAGUCAUGCUAUAGUCCAUAAACCAAGCUUAUUCAGCAAGGUUGACAAAUAUUACGAAUUCCGGUAAUCCGGGCUAAAGGAGCCACCUUUCACGCUGGGCCGAUGUCUGAGCCUCUUACGCAAAACUACCCAAUAUAUUAAAUUUAAAAGCUACAGCUUUAACAUGAUUUGGUAAAUUCAAGAAUUCAAGUGGCUUUUCUUGUUAAACAAAUUUAUUUUGUAGCAAAUCAAAAUAGUUACUACUUUUAGUAGUUUGAAAAUCUUUUAUCAAAAUCAAAGUUUAAAUAGUGAGUCAAAGGUAUUAUCAAUUCAACUGCAGGUAUUCAAUUACUAAACAUGAUUCACAAGAAUGAUGUCACGAUAAAAAUGAAUCAUGUCAUGAAAGAGAGGUCAGGGUCACGAAGAAGAUAAAAAUCGCUUACUCUUAACUAAGGGUAGAAAUACUUGCCUUAACUCCGACGUCUAGUCACGAUUCUAAUAGCACUAUACCGCACAAUCAUAUCUUUCUAAGCAGCUUCUGACAAUACUCUUUCUACGUCUGUCAUCUCAGAUUAUUCUUGCUUCAACUUGCAACACCAUCGGAUUAAUUCUGAACAUUCUCGAUAUACACGUCUUGAUCUAUUCUACACGAUAGUAGGAUAAUAUCUCAGUCAUCGGAUUAAAAGAACUAGCUAAUUCCAAAUAGUAUAGGAACCGCGAACAUCUACCCUUCGCAUAUCCGUAUAUAGUAAACAUGAAUAUAUACAAAUAUCCACAUAACAAUAUAUACACAUACACAUUGGAUCAGUCGGCACAUAACAACGUAGUCAAUCAUAUUUCAGUCCACAUAAAAUAUAUUGCGAUUAACUAUCAAAUAUCAAAUAUUUAUUAUAAAUAAACACCCUUAAUUUCUAACAAAAAUUCGACAGCAUCUCCUCUAUUUAUUGGACUAUCCACCUGUUUGCAAUACCAACAAUCAGCCAAUACUAUUGCUGACACAUGAAUUACUAUUAUAAAAAGAUGUCUUGACUUUCAAUAAACACAUAAGAAAAUCCGCCUUGACUUGCAGUAAACAUGUAAGAAAAAUCUUUUAGCAGGAUUGCUAAUUUGUUAUACCAAAACACAUUUAAUUAGAUAUACAAAGUUAACCAAGUCAAUCAAUUUAAUAAUCAAUUAUAUGCAAUUAAGCAAGUAUAACCUCAUACUAUCCACUAACAAAGAAAGAAAACUACAACAAAUGGUUCAAACAACCCUCACUCUAUGAUUUUUAAUAAAUUGAAAAUUUAUUGUUUUAAUACAAAAAUUUUAUGAGACACUCCUUAACAUUAUUCCAACCUACAGUAAAAGUUUCAGAAAGAAACUCCAAGUAUAAGGCGGUAAAACAGGCCUGCCAAUCAAGCACCAGAAAUUUGUCUUAUAAAACCAGUCCGACGCUAAGAUUUUUAAUAAACAGAAAAAUUGGUCUGUUUGUAUAAAAUUUUAAUGACACAUUCCAGGCACCAACAUCUAACUCCAGUAAAAAUUUCAGAAGUAAAUACCAAGUCAAAGGUAGUAAAACAGGGCUAGGAACAGGACACACCUGCCCAGAAUUUUCUGCGCACUUCACACUAAAACACACAUAUCUCCCAGCUCGUUGAUCGAAUUGAUUCAAUUCUUUCGCGCACAUAAACUAGACUCUAAGUAGCAUAUAAUUACAAAGAAAUUAAGCAUAGCACUCGAAUUUAACAGUCCCAGAACAGAGCUACAAAACAGGACUGUUGCUGCGAAGCAUAACAUUCAAUUGACUAAAUAAUUUGCAAGUUAUACUUCAAAUACUCAAGUUAGCUCAAUCCAAUUAUUCUAGACCUGAACUUACACUUACAAUAUAAACCAAUAUCACUAGUUUACCGAAUUUAGAUAAAACCAAGCUUUAGCAUUAUCAAUUUUUAAUAUUGGAAUUCAAAUUACCCAAAACUCAUAUCCUCAAAUCAAAUAUCAACACCCAUCAAUUUGUAGACUCAAAACACAUAGCAACCAACUCUUAUACUUUAUUUAUAUAUCAAAUUAAUAUUCAUAUCAAACAAAUCUCCCAACUAGCAAUCUGAUCAUAUACACACAAGCCACAUAAAUCAGAUUAUACACACAUAUCAAGUACAUAUACACGGAUAAACACCGUUCCCCCGAAUAUAAUUUCGAUUAUCCGACAUGUAAAUACACGCAUAUAUACACAUACAUGUACCACGUAACUGAUUUAAUGAAUAUAAACAAACUUAUACCAAAUUGAAUUCAAGUAGGUGGAGACCAUUCCUUAAUUGCCGGAAACAUAGCGGCGUUGGGGCGUCAGGACUCAUCGGCCAGAAAAGGAAUCCGAUAGAGCUGCACCUGAUUUGGACAGAAGAGGGAAGUGAUGCGGGAGGUUGAAGAAUGGUGCGGGAGUCUGGAGAAGUCGAGGGGGGAGAGGCGGUGUGAUUAUAAUGGGUUUUAAAAGAGAAAGACAGAGGAAUGGUGUACGUGGCUUAAGAGAAUGAAAGAGUACAUACGUGUUAUACCCCAAAAGAAGCCAUGUACCAAGUCACCAAUUAACCUAUACCCGCUUUUAACUAAUUUACGGAGAUAACUUAUUAGUAAAACUUCUCCCAAAAAUUACCGAAAUAUUUUUAUAAAUCCUAGAAUAUUAGAAAACCAGUAAAUAAAAUUUUUGGGACUUAUAGAGCAUUUUAUAAAUUUAUACAAAAUUUAGAAUUUAGCUGCUUCCAGAAACUAAUUAAAAUUCAUGUCCUUGUAGAAAUAAGAUUUUUUUUAAUAUUUUAAAAACUCCUAAAAAUAUUUAUGAUCACUAUCGAGCAAUUAAAACAAUUUAUCAAAUUAUCUUUAUAUUUUUACAAAUAUAAAUAUUCAUUUAGGCGGGUAAUAAAUUUAAUAUAAUAAUAUCAAACGCAGAAAUAAAUGCACACACAAAUAUAAUCGUACACAAAUAAAUCAAUUAAAUCUCGUAACAGAUAAUUGCACGAUCGGCAGAUAUUUUUCCCAUAACCCCAAUGACUAGGAAAAUAAUUUAAACAAUAUUUUUGAAAAUUAUCAAACUAGAAUAAAAUAUUGAAUUUCAUUCCUCAUUUUCCUCGAAUAAUCCUGAAUAAGAAUAAUAAAAUAAUUUGUGAAAAUUCGGGUCGUCAC